AGUAGAGGAAUACAAUCUAAGCUCGCAACAUCAUUGCUCAACGACUGUAUGACCCACUUCGUGUAGG
rnacentral:sRNA from 1 species